AGAUGAAAGCUUUGAUGAUGUGGAAUGUGGACAUUUUUGGAAAAGGAUCCUGUCAGAAGGAAGUACUCAUUGCUGUGUCUGCUGUAACAAGGCCAAAUUGUGAAUGGAUAGAGAUGACUGAGGCAAAUAUGUGCCACUGGCCAGGAAUCAUUCUCAUUUUACAUGCACCUGCCAUUUUGGAAAAUGGCAACUGCACGAUUCAUUUUACAAUUAUUCUAAAAUAUGUUCUAAAAAUCAAGUGAUUCCCCCCGCUCCUCCAUUUACACUGGCAUAGUAGGUGCUGAAACUCUUAUGACAUAGAAUGCAUUGUGCAUUAGUUUGGGAACUUUCAGGUGCAGUAAAGACCUCCUAAGUAAAACUGGCUUGGUUAAGAAUUAUUAAUUAUUAAUUAACCAUCAUAUAUCAAUUAAUCUAGAAGCAAGGUCGAUCACUGGUUCAUUGUGUUACUCAACAAUGUUUGGGCCAAUGGUUGGCUUCUAGUCUCUUGGCUUGUCCUUUGGUUGCAUGGGGCCACCUGCUGCUGAAUCAUCGCAUUUCACAGGGCAGCAGCUGAGCAGGAAGAGUGGCAGGACCUCCCUUUAUGCAGCUCUCUUAUUAGAAAAGAAAACCUUUCCUCAAAGGCCUUUGACUAACUUCUGCUUAGGUCACAUUGGUCUGAACCUGUCACACCACUCUUAGCUGCAAGGGAGGCUGUUGUCGCAAGGACCUGGUGGGCAGCUGGUGCCCACAGACUCCUGUAGCAAGGAAGCUGAACAGGGAAGAAUGGCUGUUGAGUAGACAAACAAUAGUUACGCACCCAUUACUAUUUGGAAUUAACUUUCAAGCAAUAUCAUUUAGCCAACAUGCCUAAUCUUUUAGAGUACUUUGUUCAAUGCUAUGAAUUAGUGUGAUACAGAUCCAAGAAAACCUUGAUAUCUUCAUUUUCUUCCUUUUGAAGUUCACACUAUACAUCUUUGUACAGAUGGUGUAAAAUAAAUGUCAAACAGCUCACUACUUGUCUUAUUUAAAUGUAUAUAAAUGGCAUAAUAUAACUGCCUUUUUGUUAAGCCCCUUCUUUUCCCUCCCUUUUGGAGACUUCAUUAAAAACGUUAACACAAUUCUGGAAUUUUAGGCUUUUUUAAAAGUCUUAUACCAUGUAACUUUUAAAAUACUGACAAAAUUAUAAUGUAGGAGAAAGAGCAUUGAAGCUCAUCUUUGAAGGGCUGAUGGAUGUGAAAACACCUUUAUAUCAAAAAAAAUUUUGGUGUAGGCAAGAGUUUACUACUGGUAACAAUGACCCACUUACAAUGGUGGUCUAAAACAAUAAUAAAAUUAACAUUAGUAAUACAGGUAAUCAUUAUUAGGGCACUAAGGGCAGGGAGGGGCUGGAGCUGGCAAUGGUAUUUCUAUUUCGUGUUUCUUUUUGACCAGAUUCACAUAAACAGGUGCAAUUUCUUUUCAAGAGGUGACAGCACUUGAUUUUUUUUUCUAGUAUGAGUCUUGCUUGAUAUUAGAAGCAAUUGUUCUUGUAUAAAAUUAACGUUGUAGUUUAAUAACUACAAAUAUAACUAUAACUAUAAUUUGUAGUGUAAUUUAUAAGGCUAAAAUAAAAGUCUGAUGCAUUAAUGUGUUAAUUUACUGAAAUAAUAUCACAAUAUUAAUAUGAAGUCCUGAUAUGCUUUCUCAAAACAACCCAGUAGGGUUCAAUUUGAAAAUAAUCAUCUAGAAUGUGUUCAAAAUAUGCCAUUAUGUGAAAUACAGCAGGACGUAGAACUAUAAGGUAUGUACCUAAUUAUAUUAUUAUACAUGAAUUAAAAAAGAGUAGAAGGAAGUUAAUCAAAAUGUGACCUGUAGUUGUGUUCAAAUUCGGUUAGCAAGGGUUAGUUUUUAUUUUAUUUUUUAUAAUGAUCUGAAUUUUAUACUUAGAAAAAAUGAUCUCGAAACAACCCUGGACUAACACUUAUAUAUUAUGUUGUGCUCUACUUUGUUUUAUACAUUUUGUUUUUUCUCCUUAUGUGGAUCCAAAUGACCAAACAGCAAGGACCCUGUCUUUGUCAUCUCUUUUUCCCCACACAGAUUCUACACCAUGUAUGAUCAUAUGCUGUUAAAAUACGUUGUAGCUGAUUCACAGAUUGACUUCUUGUCCACUGUAUCUUGGCUUGGAUUCUGUAAUCCUAGUGCUCCAGAGCUGUCCUUCUGAUUGAGAAUCUGUGGUUUUGAGUGGGACGAGGAGGUGGAGAGGAGGAAGGAACUUUGUUAUUGGAGGGCCACAGAAUUGGCAGUAGAGGUAGAACUCUACUUGUUUGUCCUGGAUACCCAUGUCCAAUUUUACCCUAGGCUGAUCCAACCCAUUGUCCAUGACAGUAGGUUUUCCCCACGGUAUUAUAGAGUGACAUGACGAAGUAUUUGAGCAUUUCUUUUUAUUGCUUAUAGGUAAAAUAAAAGUUACUGAAGAAGAUUGUGUGCAGUGGUAGAGAGAAGACGAGCUUGGGAUCAGGCAGUCCUGGGGAAAUUACAGCUCAGUUAUUUUGCUACCUAUGUGGACAGAGCCUCCUGGGACUGAGUAACAAACACCUUCCGAUAAACUGCCGAAAACGUGGCAUCCAGUGGAACCGUAUGGGUGUUUCCGUCUGUGGAGAUGGCUAACUCCCUGCAGCGAGUGUCCCCCAUGAAGGGUGUUGGCAGUGGUGACCUCAGAGUCAGAAGACAGCUGAAGCAGUUCCAGGCUUCACAUCCAGAGAUAACAUCCCAAAGAGGCACAACAAACAGAAAAAUGAACAAACAAACAAAUAAACAACAGGAAUACUUCAUUCCUUUCCUCUUUCCCAGAAGUCUGGAGCCUUCAUUGGCUGUAGUGGGCUGAAUUCUCAUUCUUAACCCAAUCAUUGGUAAAAGGAAUGGGAUUACCACAACUGGUUUAAAGGACUCAGGUCACCUCAUUUCCUGAGCUGUGAAUUAGUCUUUCUCUGAAGUACCUGGCCAUGUGGAGGAAGGUGAAAAUCUGAAUAAAAUUCGGGUUUAUAAGAAAGAAAGAAGGGAAGUAAAGAUGAAUGUUGGCCAGGCAACAAAUAUUCUGUUACCUAACUGUAUCCAUCUCUAUCUUCAUCUCCAUCUCUAUAAUUUAUAAUGUGUAAGCCUCAUGGAAAAUUUGCAAGAUAGAUCUUAAAAGUCAUGUUUUACAGAUGGGGCUCAUUCCAGUACCACAUAUUGUAUCAUGGUGUUUUUCAACAGUGGAAUCCUUUCUUCCAAGCAAAUCUUGAACCAAAGUACAAUGAAUAAACAGAUAAAAAUAUAUAAGUUCUAGUGAUGAAAUGGGCAAAACAUUAAUUAAAAACCCCAAUCAAGCUACUUUGAUGAACACAAAAAUGUGAAAAUAUCGGUUAUGGAUGAUAUUUGUGGCAUCAUGUGCACACCUAGAUUCAGAAAAAGACCAGUGCUGGUUUGUAUCUUUCCUAACCAUGUCUCAUAAGAAGUUUAGAUAAAUGCACAGAAAAGAGCAAAGCAGCUUUAUUCUGAGUGCUUCACAUAAAUGCUGAUCUCACAGCACAAUUACUGUGUUGAGGAUUUUCGAUUGUAUCCAUAAUUUUGAGGAGUGUCUUUUCCAUGGUCACGUUCCCUGCUAUCUGAAGCAUCUCCACUGGCAUAGUGCUCCUGGCUGCUCCCUACCUGCUCACUCGCUCCUCCUACUUCUGUGGCGGUGAUUUUUGGAGGCCUCGUGUAUGCAAUGCCCAGCCCCACCCUCUCUUCUCCACUCUGCUACCCCUUUGGUAAGCUCUGUUCCUGCAAUGAGA